UGGACUCGAUCCAGCUUCAAGACAUAAUCUAUACGGGCAAAACAAGAUUGUGCGAUCAUCCUAACAAAUAGCCACAGACAGCGGAUAAUAAGUUGGAUUGAUGGCACAAGACAGCUAUCAGCUACAUUUGACUUCACAACCAAGGGAGUUCUUCAGGAAGCUGUCAAGGGACAAUUAUGGAGAUUAUGUGAUCCCCAAGGGAAGCCACCAGGUGUAAUAUAGUAGUACAGCUAGCUAGUUCCUAUAUUUAACUUGUUUCUAGUAGAAAUUCUUCCUUCAUUAAGAAUGUGGACUUGUUUGCAGAUUCAAAUUAGUAGAUAUGGGCCAUUUUGAACUGAUGCUCAUGAUUAGGUUUGUGUACAUGAGACAAUGAUGGAUUAGUGGAAAUUGCAAUGAAUGCUUUUGGAUGUGGAUUUUAUGGUUUCA